rnacentral:misc_RNA from 1 species
ACAUAUAAUCAUUUUCAUUUGUAGGCUUUUCUGUCUUCAAGCUGACUGUUAAGCUACCCCUUGUUAGAGUUCCUUUUUCAUGUUUCUUUAUUUUUCUUAUGAGAUUGCUACUGUAUAGAUCCCCAUAGUUAUGAUUGGUUAAAAGUUUAAGCAGGAAACACUGUCAUGCGUGAAACCAUUUUUGUAUGACAGUUCUUCAUGCGUUCGCUCUAGUUUUUAAUGCAAAGUAUAAUUGCGUUGUGCUUGGAUUUUCUAAGGAUGUGUUAUUAUCAACUCUAUACGAUCCUAACUACUAAGAGAGGGCCAAUAAGCUGUAAAAUAUUAUCUUAACAAAUUUACACAUACAUAAUACUUGUAUUUCUUCUGUAAACUUUUGUUUAAUCAAAUAUAGGAAAAGUUAAAGAUAAUCAUAUAUUCCCAAUUCAUUCUCUCUUGGGUUUAUGGUUUAUGGAAUUGUUGGUUCUCUGUAUUUGUGGGAUAGUUGAGGUUUUUGAAUCCUUUGACUAACUGUAAAAUUACAGCAAGGAUUUCAUUUGUUGAACAUGCAAGGCAGAUCAAUAUAACGUUAAAAGCAUUUAUGUUGUAUGGUGCUUCCAUGCAUGAUUAAAAUCCUUUUUUCAUUGAUGCUCUGCUGCUCUUGAUUUCAGGACCGCAGAACUGGAAGGGAACAUGGGCGAACUCACCGUGAUGUUGAGAAAACAGAAAAGCGUGUGACUGAAUCAGGGGACAGCAGUGGUUAUGAAAGUGGUGCCCAAACAAAUAGAUCAUUGUGGAGAAAACAAGACCCUGAAGAACAGUAAGUAGCCUUG